CUACGGGAGGCAGCAGGCGCGAAAACUUUACAAUGCGGGAAACCGUGAUAAGGGGACACCGAGUGCCAGCGUCAUACGCUGGCUGUCCAGGUGUGUAAAAUACACCUGUUAGCAAGGGCCGGGCAAGACCGGUGCCAGCCGCCGCGGUAACACCGGCGGCCCGAGUGGUGAUCGUGAUUAUUGGGUCUAAAGGGUCCGUAGCCGGUUUGGUCAGUCCUCCGGGAAAUCUGAUAGCUCAACUAUUAGGCUUUCGGGGGAUACUGCCAGACUUGGAACCGGGAGAGGUAAGAGGUACUACAGGGGUAGGAGUGAAAUCUUGUAAUCCCUGUGGGACCACCUGUGGCGAAGGCGUCUUACCAGAACGGGUUCGACGGUGAGGGACGAAAGCUGGGGGCACGAACCGGAUUAGAUACCCGGGUAGUCCCAGCCGUAAACGAUGCUCGCUAGGUGUCAGGCAUGGCGCGACCGUGUCUGGUGCCGCAGGGAAGCCGUGAAGCGAACCACCUGGGAAGUACGGCCGCAAGGCUGAAACUUAAAGGAAUUGGCGGGGGAGCACAACAACGGGUGGAGCCUGCGGUUUAAUUGGACUCAACGCCGGACAACUCACCGGGGACGACAGCAAAAUGUAGGCCAGGCUGAAGACCUUGCCUGAAUCGCUGAGAGGAGGUGCAUGGCCGUCGCCAGUUCGUACUGUGAAGCAUCCUGUUAAGUCAGGCAACGAGCGAGACCCGUGC
rnacentral:rRNA from 1 species